GAUGAACGCUGGCGGCGUGCCUAAUACAUGCAAGUCGAGCGAACAGACGAGGAGCUUGCUCCUCUGACGUUAGCGGCGGACGGGUGAGUAACACGUGGAUAACCUACCUAUAAGACUGGGAUAACUUCGGGAAACCGGAGCUAAUACCGGAUAAUAUAUUGAACCGCAUGGUUCAAUAGUGAAAGACGGUUUUGCUGUCACUUAUAGAUGGAUCCGCGCCGCAUUAGCUAGUUGGUAAGGUAACGGCUUACCAAGGCAACGAUGCGUAGCCGACCUGAGGGGGGGAUCGGCCACACUGGAACUGAGACACGGUCCAGACUCCUAAGGGAGGCAGCAGUAGGGAAUCUUCCGCAAUGGGCGAAAGCCUGACGGAGCAACGCCGCGUGAGUGAUGAAGGUCUUCGGAUCGUAAAACUCUGUUAUUAGGGAAGAACAAAUGUGUAAGUAACUAUGCACGUCUUGACGGUACCUAAUCAGAAAGCCACGGCUAACUACGUG
rnacentral:rRNA from 1 species